AUUCAGUCGAAGAGUCCCAAAUAGGACGAAACGCGCGUCCUGGAU
rfam:Schistosoma mattheei strain Denwood, Zambia genome assembly, scaffold: SMTD_scaffold0006851